GAUGAACGCUGGCGGUAUGCUUAACACAUGCAAGUCGAACGAAAUCUUUCGGGAUUUAGUGGCGGACGGGUGAGUAACGCGUGAGAAUCUGGCUUCAGGUCUGGGACAACCACUGGAAACGGUGGCUAAUACCGGAUGUGCCGAGAGGUGAAAGGUUAACUGCCUGAAGAUGAGCUCGCGUCUGAUUAGCUAGUUGGUAGAGUAAAAGCCUACCAAGGCGACGAUCAGUAGCUGGUCUGAGAGGACGAUCAGCCACACUGGGACUGAGACACGGCCCAGACUCCUACGGGAGGCAGCAGUGGGGAAUUUUCCGCAAUGGGCGAAAGCCUGACGGAGCAAUACCGCGUGAGGGAGGAAGGCUCUUGGGUCGUAAACCUCUUUUCUCAGGGAAGAACACAAUGACGGUACCUGAGGAAUAAGCAUCGGCUAACUCCGUGCCAGCAGCCGCGGUAAUACGGAGGAUGCAAGCGUUAUCCGGAAUGAUUGGGCGUAAAGCGUCCGCAGGUGGCAAUGUAAGUCUGCUGUUAAAGAGUCUAGCUCAACUAGAUAAGAGCAGUGGAAACUACAUAGCUAGAGUACGUUCGGGGCAGAGGGAAUUCCUGGUGUAGCGGUGAAAUGCGUAGAGAUCAGGAAGAACACCAGUGGCGAAGGCGCUCUGCUAGGCCGUAACUGACACUGAGGGACGAAAGCUAGGGGAGCGAAUGGGAUUAGAUACCCCAGUAGUCCUAGCCGUAAACGAUGGAUACUAGGCGUGGCUUGUAUCGACCCGAGCCGUGCCGUAGCUAACGCGUUAAGUAUCCCGCCUGGGGAGUACGCCGGCAACGGUGAAACUCAAAGGAAUUGACGGGGGCCCGCACAAGCGGUGGAGUAUGUGGUUUAAUUCGAUGCAACGCGAAGAACCUUACCAAGGCUUGACAUGUCGCGAAUCCUGGUGAAAGCUGGGAGUGCCUUCGGGAGCGCGAACACAGGUGGUGCAUGGCUGUCGUCAGCUCGUGUCGUGAGAUGUUGGGUUAAGUCCCGCAACGAGCGCAACCCUCGUUUUUAGUUGCCAGCAUUAAGUUGGGCACUCUAGAGAGACUGCCGGUGACAAACCGGAGGAAGGUGGGGAUGACGUCAAGUCAGCAUGCCCCUUACGCCUUGGGCUACACACGUACUACAAUGCUCCGGACAGAGGGCAGCAAGCGCGCGAGUGCAAGCAAAUCCCGGAAACCGGAGCUCAGUUCAGAUCGCAGGCUGCAACUCGCCUGCGUGAAGGAGGAAUCGCUAGUAAUUGCAGGUCAGCAUACUGCAGUGAAUUCGUUCCCGGGCCUUGUACACACCGCCCGUCACACCAUGGAAGCUGGUAGUGCCCGAAGUCAUUACUCCAACCUGCAAAGGAGGAGGAUGCCUAAGGCAGGACUGGUGACUGGGGUGAAGUCGUAACAAGGUAGCCGUACCGGAAGGUGUGGCUGGAUCACCUCCUUUUUAGGGAGACCUACACCCCUCAGAAAUCGAAAAGCAGACAGCGAAAUAGAUACUGAGUUGGUCUAACCUAGGUCGGUCG
rnacentral:rRNA from 1 species